GUGCCCACAUUUUGGCAACACAUACUAAAAUCAGAGUGAUACAGAAAAGAUCGGCAUGACCUCUGCACAAGGAUGACACAAAUUCAUGAAGUAUGCUAUUUUUUA
rfam:Tupaia chinensis contig107399, whole genome shotgun sequence.